GUGGCAUCGCCGGGGCCUUUUUGGGUAAGAUCGGGGAGUAUCUGUUCUUAUCAGUUUAAUAUUCAUACCCCCAUCUGGGACCAUAUAUUAAAUUGAUUUUUUUGGGAAAAGGGGGUGGAAUAGGGGUUUUCGGCCCCCCCCACGAUCACCCGGUAUUGCAGAUUCCAGGAGGGGCACUUUCU